GCGAGCGUGGCGGAAUUGGUAGACGCACUGGAUUUAGGUUCCAGCGCCGCAAGGUGUAAGAGUUCGAGUCUCUUCGCUCGCA
rnacentral:tRNA from 1 species